ACAACGUCUUUUUUCAUUCACUCUUCUUCUUAUUUCUCCUCUAUCAAGAUGAUGGUUCGAACUUUGAAGGUAGAUAAUCAAGGGAAUCUAGAACUUAACAAUGGUGGUCGAACUACCUUUCCUCUCCCCUUUUUCUCUCUCUUAUUGAACUCUUCAAUUUCUAGGGUUCUUCAUUUUGAACGCUAAUUCUAUCCCCAGUUUGUCUCUUUAGCAGUUUAAGGUUCCUCAUAGUUUGGAAAGUCUGCUCCGAUCUACCGAUGCACCGCUGCAACGCUGCACCACUAAAUCGCCGCAACUAUGAACAUUGCGCCUCUAAACGUCGCGCCACCACUGCACUGUCUAGGCUUUGCAAGAUAAAAAAUUGAAGGGACAACUUGCUAUUAAAGAAGAGUUGUAUAAACGAUCUACAAAAACAGCAACGAAUGUUGAAAAGGCUGGUUUGAUUAACAAGAAGCUUGGGGUUUAUUAGUUUGAUUUCUUGUCGUAAAUCCAUUCCUGCUGCUCGCGGUGGCCACCUUUCUUCUUGGAGCUUCGAGGUCUCUAUCUAUUUGACGAGCAUAUCUCGUUAUUUCAGCUAUCUAAUAUCACCUUUUAUGCCUCGGAAGAAAAUCUGUUGCUGAAAUCAAAAAGGAUUUUCACGAAAUUCAAAAGUACUUGAAGAAUGCUUUCAUGACCGAGAUGAAAAAGAUAGACAAGCAUUGCAAAUUUAUUUUUGCCCCGUAUUUUGAAGGGCCGUACAAUAUAUAUAAGUCACAUCUUAAAGGCAUUGCGUUUGAAAAAAGAGUAAAUCGGAAUUGUUGCACUUAAGAAUGGAGGUACAUAUGUGUUUGCCCAUUUCCUAGCAAUUUUUCAUAUAAUAAUUAAAUAUUUUAAUGUAUCUAAUGUUAUAUUUCCAUGUAUUAGUGCACUUAACAACCAAGAAAUACUUAUUCCGGAUACUAUGUGAUGAGUACAUGUAUGAAAUCAUUUCUACAUACCAUGAAUGUAAGGGUGUCAGUUAAUUUACCCCUUUUAAUGAAUAUAUGUUGAUAGUAGGGUGCAAACAAUCUCAUAUGUUUUUGUCUCUGUUGUGCUGCUAUCUUUCUCGAUUGUUUCUUGCUUUACUUUGUUGAUUGUCUAGCAUCUUGGUGGAAUGUGGCUGUUGCUUGAAGUGCUUGAACCUUUGUUGAUCUAAAUUUUAGAAUGAUCAGGAAAGGGUUGUUAUAAGUUGUACUAUUGUCUAUUCUUCCAACUGAUAAGAUGUAAUAUUAAGUUGUUUCCUUAUAGCUGACUUCUUUAGCAAGUAUAUUUCCUUAGGUUUUGAUGCUUGCUUGAUGCUUCUGCUGCUCUUGCCUGUUGUUGUUGUUGCCUGUUGUUGCUGUUCCGCUUAUGUGCUCCUGCUGUUCUGCAUAGGUGCUGCUAUUGUUGCCUGCUGCUACUGUUCUACUUAUGUGUUGUUGUUCUGUUUCCGAGCUGCUGCUGUUUUGUUUCCGAGCUGCUGUUGUUCCGUUUCCAAGCAGCUGCUGUUUGUAAUUUUUUUUUUUUUGUAAGAAAUUGUAAUAUUACAAGCAUUUAUUAAUAAAAAUAUCUAAGUUUAUAUAUAUAUAAUGAUUUAUCAAUUUUACUUUUAUUUAGGCAUAAAAGGCACCAAAUCGAGGGGAAAUCGGUGCCCUUAAUUUAUGUUAAGGGCAUUGGUUUGAACCGGUGCCCUUAGUCGGCUUUGAACUAGUGCCGAUUACACUUUUUCUACUAGUGAUAUUAAAACGUUACCAUUUAAUUAUUAAGAUGUUACAUUAGUUUG